rnacentral:lncRNA from 1 species
UUAUAUAAAGUAGGAAAUUUUUACACCCUUGCAAACUAUUGGAAAACAGAUACUAAUAUUUUUCCAUUGUUCUAUUCCUUUUAGGGAAGCUCUACAAAAAUUCCUAUGAUUUUUGAAUCAACACAGGAUUUAUUACACAAUUUCAAAUAUAAAACAAAAACUGCAUAAAAGAAAAAAAAGAAAAGACAUUGCAGCGGGUGGCCGGAUUUCGGCCCGCAGGCCGGCCCGCUUCGGCUCGGCCCGCGCGGACGCUGCGCACGCCGCCUUCUCUCCGCGCGUCCGCUGACGAGCGGGGCCUGCUCGUCAGGCCCCUCCCCCCUUCCAGCG